rnacentral:rRNA from 1 species
AGCGAACGCUGGCGGCAGGCUUAACACAUGCAAGUCGAGCGCCUGUAGCAAUACAGGAGCGGCAGACGGGAGAGUAACACGUGGGAACGUACCCUUCAGUUCGGAACAACCAAGGGAAACUUUGGCUAAUACCGAAUACGUCCGUAAGGAGAAAGAUUUAUUCGCUGAAGGAUCGGCCCGCCGUCUGAUUAGCUAGUUGGUGGGGUAAGUGGCUCACCAAGGCGACGAUCAGUAGCUGGUCUGAGAGGAUGAUCAG